UUUUUUUAUUGUGUUUAUAUGUAUGUAUGAAUUUAUGUUUGUAUGUAGUUUCCAUAUGCUUUAAAGUUACAGAUUUUUGUAUUAUAAUGAGAAUGGGAUGUUUUCUGGGUAUGUCCUACAUUUUUUUUUGAUUUCAGAUGCCUGAUGAAGUUUAAUAGAGCAUUAAGUAUUUCGCUACAUCAAUUUUAAAUAAUUAUUUUCAUAAAACACUUAUUGCCUAGAUAUAUUCCAAUGGAUUUACUACAGUUCAAACACAUGAACGAACGAACAUUUGCCUCGAUUGCAUUUCUAACUUAGCCUAAAAUCUCUUUCUCAUCGCUGUAUUUAACUUUG
rnacentral:lncRNA from 1 species